GUUCAAAUAGCUUAUCAAAGAGCGUGGUACUGAAGAUACCAAGGAGAUUUUAGGAUCUUUGGACA
rnacentral:tRNA from 1 species